rnacentral:rRNA from 1 species
GUUGGCGGUGUGCCUUAUGCAUGCAAGUCGUACGAGGUUAUGGUCUUCGGAUUGUAACCGAGUGGCGAACGGCUGAGUAACACGUAAGUAACCUGCCUGCAAGUGGGGGAUAACCUGUCGAAAGGCAGGCUAAUACCGCAUAUGAUAAUCGAGUGUUGCUUGAUUAUUAAAGCCUUAGGGUGCUUGGAGAUGGGCUUGCGUCUGAUUAGCUAGUUGGUGAGGUAAUGGCUCACCAAGGCGAUGAUCAGUAGCUGGUCUGAGAGGAUGGUCAGCCAGAUGGGGAUUGAGAUACGGCCCCAACUCCUACGGGAGGCAGCAGCAAGGGAUAUUGGGCAAUGGGCGAAAGCCUGACCCAGCGACACCGCGUGAGGGAGGGAGGCCUUCGGGUUGUAAACCUCUUUUCUCGAGGAAGAAUUUUGACGGUACUCGGGGAAUAAGCCUCGGCUAACUACGUGCCAGCAGCCGCGGUAAGACGUAGGAGGCGAACGUUAUCCGGAUUUACUGGGCGUAAAGAGAGCGUAGGCGGCUUUUUAAGUCAAGUGUGAAAUCUUGUGACUCAAUCAGAAGAAGCCGCUUGAUACUGGAGGGCUUGAGGGAAGCAGAAGGAAAUGGAAUUCCCAGAGUAGCGGUGAAAUGCGUUGAUAUUGGGAAGAACACCAGUGGCGAAGGCGAUUUCCUAGGCUUUUCCUGACGCUGAGGCUCGAAAGCGUGGGGAGCGAAGCGGAUUAGAUACCCGCGUAGUCCACGCCUUAAACGGUGGACAUUAGGUAUGGGGAGUAUCGACCCUCUCCGUGUCGAAGCUAACGCUUUAAAUGUCCCGCCUGGGGAGUACGGCCGCAAGGCUAAAACUCAAAGGAAUUGA